GAGGCACUGACAACUACUUAUCAAAAAUACCUCUUGGCUGUGUUUGAACUUGAAUGUUCUUUGAUUAUCCCAAAAGCAACAGUAAAUUGAAUUCCAGAACUCAAGAAUUUGAGGCACAAGUAUCUCUGAAGGCAAAGAAUAAGGUUUCCAAUCAGGAAAAGGUAUCCUAAUCUCUCACCUGUCAGACUCUUCAAUCCUUCUGUGAAAAGUGACUGGAAUUCGGGAGAC